UCUUGGACAAUGGGGGCAACCCUGAUCCAGCCAUGCCGCGUGAGUGAUGAAGGCCUUAGGGUCGUAAAGCUCUUUCGCCUGUGAUGAUAAUGACAGUAGCAGGUAAAGAAACCCCGGCUAACUCCGUGCCAGCAGCCGCGGUAAUACGGAGGGGGUUAGCGUUGUUCGGAAUUACUGGGCGUAAAGCGCGCGUAGGCGGAUUAGUCAGUUAGAGGUGAAAUCCCAGGGCUCAACCCUGGAACUGCCUUUAAUACUGCUAGUCUUGAGUUCGAGAGAGGUGAGUGGAAUUCCGAGUGUAGAGGUGAAAUUCGUAGAUAUUCGGAGGAACACCAGUGGCGAAGGCGGCUCACUGGCUCGAUACUGACGCUGAGGUGCGAAAGUGUGGGGAGCAAACAGGAUUAGAUACCCUGGUAG
rnacentral:rRNA from 1 species